GAGAGCAUUCUCUGAAGAGCCGCACUCCCGGCCCCUCUGCAAAGGGAGGUGUGUGCACCAGAGGCGGCAGCAGUAAUACACCGAGUGUCACUUUCCAGCAGACUCAAGGCCAUAGCAAGGAACUGGCAAGGAUCAAGUCCAAAAGGCAAGACGACUGGAGCUGGGAGAGCAAAUGCCAGGUGCCGAGCAACCGAUAACAGAAACAAUUCGUCUCAGCGAUGUCCUCGGAAUUAGCCUAGAGAAUAUUGUUUUCCACACUCAAGAUUUGUGGACCAAAGGGCUCUGCAGCGGUGCUGCGGUGGUACCCAUGCCGGAGAGACGGUGCCGACAGCAUCUUCCCUGCAGGAAAGCCUCGUCAGCCGGGUCAGGUUUGGGGGAGGAUGGGAGGCUGAUGGUUUGCUCUUCUCCACAUCUACUGCUGAGGGAAGCCUUGGGCUGGAAAUGCAGGUUGGGAGGUUAACGGUGAACUGUGAAUUAAAACACAGUAAGCCACUUAUUCCUUCCCCAUUCACAUCUUCCUUUCUUAAGUCUGGUGGGGAAAAAAAAGACCCCUUUCCCCUUCCUCCUUGGCAAGACUGCCCCAGGGUUAAUCAGAACCUUAAGCCACUGUCCUCCACCCACGUUGGAAGCAGGGUGACCGUGAUUAGAAGAGCCUGACGUAAGCGCAGCCCGCGAUGAAAGAGUCGCUGACAGACAGCGCAAGCUGACACCGUGAGAACAGCCGGGGCUAUGAGGUCACUGGGUCCAACAGGUAGGCCGUUCUGUUUUCUCAGCCCUGACAUUCAAUGCCCCACCGGUUAUUCAAUAACCAGAAAUGAGGUGGGUCUCACAAAUUCCUGAAUCUCCUUGGGGAUGGAGGGGGAGGAGCCAGGCUUCCUUGAUCUAGGGCCCCAGAGGAGAAGCCAGAGCUGGAAACCUGCCCCCCUAGGAGGAUGGCUGGAUGAAACAAAACGCAGGAAAGAUAUUCAGAAGCAAGUAGCAUCAUUUCUGCGGAGACACGAACGAUUAUCCUGCAUCACACUUAACCCAGACAGUCCUGCCCUGCUCCGAGACGGCAAAGUGAAACUCACCCCUGGACUGAACAAACGUACAAACUCUCAGGCCAAACGGAGCGGCCAGUACUUGAGCAAAUUUGUUUUUGAAAAGGCGGGGGCAGGGGGGUCAUUAUUUGUUUGGGAGGAGGUUGUUUGCUUUGUGAUUUGUUUAUUUUACUACCCAAUAU